AGUGAACGCUGGCGGUAGGCCUAACACAUGCAAGUCGAACGGCAGCACAGGAGAGCUUGCUCUCUGGGUGGCGAGUGGCGGACGGGUGAGGAAUACAUCGGAAUCUACCCUGUCGUGGGGGAUAACGUAGGGAAACUUACGCUAAUACCGCAUACGACCUACGGGUGAAAGCGGGGGACCUUCGGGCCUUGCGCGAUUGAAUGAGCCGAUGUCGGAUUAGCUAGUUGGCGGGGUAAAGGCCCACCAAGGCGACGAUCCGUAGCUGGUCUGAGAGGAUGAUCAGCCACACUGGAACUGAGACACGGUCCAGACUCCUACGGGAGGCAGCAGUGGGGAAUAUUGGACAAUGGGCGCAAGCCUGAUCCAGCCAUACCGCGUGGGUGAAGAAGGCCUUCGGGUUGUAAAGCCCUUUUGUUGGGAAAGAAAUCCAGCUGGCUAAUACCCGGUUGGGAUGACGGUACCCAAAGAAUAAGCACCGGCUAACUUCGUGCCAGCAGCCGCGGUAA
rnacentral:rRNA from 1 species